rnacentral:rRNA from 1 species
AACGAACGCUGGCGGCAUGCCUAACACAUGCAAGUCGAACGAACCCUUCGGGGUUAGUGGCGCACGGGUGCGUAACGCGUGGGAAUCUGCCCUUUGCUUCGGAAUAACUCAGGGAAACUUGUGCUAAUACCGGAUGAUGUCUUCGGACCAAAGAUUUAUCGGCAAGGGAUGAGCCCGCGUAGGAUUAGGUAGUUGGUGGGGUAAAGGCCUACCAAGCCGACGAUCCUUAGCUGGUCUGAGAGGAUGAUCAGCCACACUGGGACUGAGACACGGCCCAGACUCCUACGGGAGGCAGCAGUGGGGAAUAUUGGACAAUGGGCGCAAGCCUGAUCCAGCAAUGCCGCGUGAGUGAUGAAGGCCCUCGGGUCGUAAAGCUCUUUUACAAGGGAUGAUAAUGACAGUACCUGGAGAAUAAGCGCCGGCUAACUCCGUG